UCUUCUCAUACUCUCGCCAUAACCAAACACACCCUUAGUUUUUUUUACGAGUUCAAUAAUCAUCACCGAUAUCGAUUUUUUACAAUGACAUCUAACUGUUCGAUGAAAUGCCCCUUUGGCCGCAUCUCAAAAUUUUUCUAUUGUUUUCAUUGCAGGAUCAUUCGAUGGCUUUCAGAAAUAUGUUCUGGAACGAUCUUCUUCUAUACGGAAAAUUUGGUGGCUACUGCUUUAGGAACCGUGGCAGACUCUACGCCACCAAAAUGGACUUGAGGAAACUCCGACCCAUGAUUCUCAAGAGAAUUGAGAAAUGUUCCCAACUUUACCCUGUUCGUGCCAUGGUUUAUGUUGCCAAUGAGGUCUUACUUGCUAGAAAUGUUCUUAUCCAUGGUGUUUCCACUCUUCUCAAUUCAUUGCCUCUCAUGCCUUUGUUAUCAAAUAGUGGCGCCAUGACAACUAUGGUAGAUAUACAUGGCAGUUUUUGGGCUCGCCGCAAUGGUAAAUAUCGACCGAUAUUGGGGGAUUUUCCGCCAUAAUCCGCUAAAACGGCACCGCGAAACGGCCGGUAUGGCGGGAUUUUGACUAUCCACCAUGGACCGCCAUCUGCCAUCGACAACACACAGUAUGUUAUGCAAUUACAGAUUUUGUCCAGGGAUAUAUAUUUCGGUGAAGAGAUAUGUAUUGGUGAAGAGAUAUAUAUUGGUGAAGAGACAUUUAGUUCCAACUUGCUGGGUUACAACCAUCGUGCCAAGAACAGGGUUCAUGAAUGGGGUUAAAGGUGGUUUGAAUGAUAUACUUGUGCCUGCUGAGACGUUUCAUCUUAAACACAUGUUCCAAAGUGUUAUUAGGCAUAACCAAAAGUUUGACUUUGAUCGCAUCCCUGCUGUUGUUGAACUAUGCUGGCAAGCACGGGUUGAUCCCCACGAUUAAAAUCUUAAUUCAAGUAGUUGGAACUUAGAGGUUACUAAUGGCAAUGUCGAUGAUACUAUGAUGAAAGUACAAGGUUUGUCUGUUCCUGUCAAUUAUAAGAUUUGACAGAGGCAUUAGAGGAUCAAACAAAAAAUUGAACCAUAAUCGGACACUCAAUCGUUUGGGGAAGAAAUCUGAGAUGACAUUACUUUCAUCUGCAGUUUCAUGCAUAAUUUGAGAUUGUCUAGGAUAUUUUAUUAUGGAUCUCUGUGCCUGAUCAUCUGUUGGUUACAUAAAGCAAUCUUGUUCCCGCCCAUAUCUUGUAUCUCUCGAAACCAAAGUAUUUCUGCAGGGCAAACUAGAAUCUCUAAACAUAUGUUUUGCUGGAUUUAAUGGACCGGCUCUUCAGAUCUGAUGAAGAUAAUUUAAAGUUCUAUUUCUCCCGUCAAAGAUUCCAGAGGCGUCGAUGCUACAAAGGAUAGGGAUGAUAUUCUUAAACAGCUUGCUUAUCAUUAGCAAUGGAUCCAAAUUCCAAAUCCAAAUGAGUCAUUCCGAGAACUAACAUAGGAGAAAUGUGUCUAGCAGUCGAUAGCUAGGCCUAAGAUUAUGUAUCUCUAGCUUUUUGCAAAGUAUUUUUGGUGAUUACAUAUAAAUGACAAAGCAGUGUUAUCAAAUAUCCGCAAUUGCGGCGUUAUGGCGGAUAUAUAUGGCGGUUUUUGGAUUCGCCACAAUGGUAAAUAGCGGUCGAUAUUGCGGGUUUUUCCGGUCAUAAUCUGCUAAAAUGGCGCCACAAAACGACUGGUAUGGUGGGAUUUUGACUCUCCACCAUGGACCGGCGUCCGCUCUGGACAACACUAUGACUAAGGUUGAAGCAGUGGCCUGCAAGUUAUAAUCCCUUACAAUCAUUUUUGCUGUUAUAGAUAUAAGCACGUAAAUCAAUUUUAUAAUUCAAUGAUUGAAAGAGUAAAAUUGAGGAAUAACUGAAAGGCUGUAUAUAUUUUGAUUAUGAAGCAGAUAGUAACAGGGAGAAGUUUUGUUUGCAUAUUUGCUAAACUACUUGCAUCAAUUCUAAUGUCUUUUGACCACCUAUUUUGUAUUCAAUUGAAUUGAAAAUCUAAAGACAUUCCCUCAAAAU